UGGUUCUGGCAUCGAUGAAGAACGCAGCGAAAUGCGAUAAGUAAUGCGAAUUGCAGAAUUCCAGUGAGUCAUCGAAUCUUUGAACGCACAUUGCGCCCUUUGGUAUUCCGAAGGGCAUGCCUGUUCGAGCGUCAUUAUCACCCCUCAAGCCCCGUGCUUGGUGUUGGACGGUGUGGUCGGUCAUAAACGACCCUUCCUAAAGAUAACGACGGCGGCCUGUGGAGCCCCCGGUACACUGAGCUUCCUAACCGAGCACGUACCGGACGAGGGCGCCCGGGACCCGGUCUUCUCCCCCUGGGAACUCUCUAAGUUUUGACCUCGGAUCAGGUAGGGAUACGCGCUGA
rnacentral:misc_RNA from 1 species